GUGGGGAAUAUUGGACAAUGGGCGAAAGCCUGAUCCAGCCAUGCCGCGUGUGUGAAGAAGGUCUUCGGAUUGUAAAGCACUUUAAGUUGGGAGGAAGGGCAUUAACCUAAUACGUUAGUGUUUUGACGUUACCAACAGAAUAAGCACCGGCUAACUUCGUGCCAGCAGCCGCGGUAAUACGAAGGGUGCAAGCGUUAAUCGGAAUUACUGGGCGUAAAGCGCGCGUAGGUGGUUCGUUAAGUUGGAUGUGAAAGCCCCGGGCUCAACCUGGGAAAUGCAUCCAAAACUGGCGAGCUAGAGUACGGUAGAGGGUAGUGGAAUUUCCUGUGUAGCGGUGAAAUGCGUAGAUAUAGGAAGGAACACCAGUGGCGAAGGCGACUACCUGGACUGAUACUGACACUGAGGUGCGAAAGCGUGGGGAGCAAACAGGAUUAGAAACCCGUGUAGUCC
rnacentral:rRNA from 1 species